rnacentral:lncRNA from 1 species
UUUUUUUUUUUUUUGAGACAGAGUCUCGCUCAGUUGCCCAGGUUGGAGUGCAGUGGCGUGAUCUCGGCUCACUGCAACCACCAUCUCCCCAGUUCAAGCAAUUAUCCUGGCUCAGCCUCCUGAGUAGCUGGGAUUACAGGCACCAGCCAUCAUGCCCAGCUGAUUUUUGUAUUUUAGUAGAGACAGGGUUUCACCAUGUUGGCCAGGGUGGUCUUGAACACCUGACCUCACGUGAUCCGCCCACCUCAGCCUCUCAAAGUGCUGGGAUUACAGACGUGAGCCACUGUGCCCGGGCCGUGUCUGGCUUUUUUACUUAGCUAAUGUUUUUGAGGUUUGUCCAUGACAUAUAACGUCUUGGUAGUUUGUUCCUUUUAUUGCCGAGUAGAAUUUUGUUGAUAAUGUACCAUAUGUUGUCAGCAGAGAGCCUUUUAAACUUGGAUUCCAGCUUCCUGUGGUCUAAACAGAACCCUCCGAACAGGACUUAUAGGGGAAGCUGCUGUGCCUGUCCAAAAAAACCUACUAAUCAGAACGAGCUUUGUCAUCCGGCAUCAGAACUGCUGCAGAAAUUUUUACAAUUUUGCAACUUCUUUUUUUGCAAGGAACUUUUGUGCUACUACACAUCAGGACUUUUGAAGCAUCCGAUAAAUCCAUGUAAUAAAUAUGAGCGUGUGUCUGAGUGGACAAGAAAGUGAAACCAUCCAUGCUACAUUGGAUAAUUUUUCCUCCCCCAGACUGGACAGGGAAUCUCAGCUUUCGAAAUAGAGUAUCCUGUCUCCAUUUACAAAGCUGCACAGGUAUUAAAGAUCGUGCUGCCUUUGUUAGGCAGAUUUGGAGGGGAGGCCCAAAAGCAAAGAUGGAGAGGAAAAGGGAGUGGAACUUGUGGAACAGGAAGCCCCCCAGGGUCUGUGCAGGGCUGCUCAGCUCUUGAGGAUAUUGUAGAUGGUGAGGUAGUGAUGGUGUCCCGGGGCAGCCCAGCACCUCCACUGGGCCCAGAAGAUCUUGACUUUGGACACUUACCCUUGUUUCACAAGUGUUUAAAAGCUGUUUUUGCUUUUGUUUUUUUUCCUAAUCAUUACUUGGUAGUUACUAAUCCUUCUUUGGGGGAGGGGCAGGGCUUUAAAACUUAAGAAAAUAAUUUUCAUAAAAAUAUAAAAAAUGGAAAAAAAUUACCUUGUAAAAAAUUUGCUAUACAAAACAAAAUGCAGCUGUUGAGAAUCUCAGUAAAAUGUUAAAUGCAUUUGCUGGCACUGGUACCUUUCUACAUGAGGUUGGGUCACUGUGCCAUCAUACUGGGGCGGGGGCGGUAUGUAUGGUGUGUAUGUGUGAAACUUCUUGUGUCAGGAUGGGUCAUAAUCUUAGUUGUGGUUUUCUUUCCAAAUAGGGUUACAAAGCAGAAACCAUGGGUCUGGAAGUGACAGACCCGAGUGAAUCCCACCUUCACUACUUUGUGCCAUUGGCCUGAACUUUAUUUACAAAUAACCUCUUUAUUUGUAAAUAACCUCUGCCCUGGAACUAUAAUGACAGAAUUUUAAAAUACUGCCUGACACAUGAUAGGCACUUAAUACAUGGUUGCCCAUGGUCACAAUGAUAUGUGCAACUUUGAACAGAGAGUCAGUG